rnacentral:rRNA from 1 species
AAGCGGUGGAUUAUGUGGAUUAAUUCGAUGCAACGCGAAAACCUUACCUACCCUUGACAUGUACGGAACCUCGCAGAGAUGUGAGGGUGCCCGAAAGGGAGCCGUAACACAGGUGCUGCAUGGCUGUCGUCAGCUCGUGUCGUGAGAUGUUGGGUUAAGUCCCGCAACGAGCGCAACCCUUGCCAUUAGUUGCUACAUUCAGUUGGGCACUCUAAUGGGACUGCCGGUGACAAACCGGAGGAAGGUGGGGAUGACGUCAAGUCCUCAUGGCCCUUAUGGGUAGGGCUUCACACGUAAUACAAUGGCAGGUACAGAGGGACGCCAACCCGCGAGGGGGAGCCAAUCCCAGAAAGCCUGUCGUAGUCCGGAUUGUAGUCUGCAACUCGACUACAUGAAGCUGGAAUCGCUAGUAAUCGCGGAUCAGCAUGUCGCGGUGAAUACGUUCCCGGGUCUU